rnacentral:rRNA from 1 species
AGUGAACGCGGGCGGUAGGCCUAACACAUGCAAGUCGUACGUCAGCACAGUAAGAUCUUGCUCUUACGGGUUGCGAGUUGCGUACGGGUUCGUAAUACAUCGGUAUCUACUUUAUCGUGGGGGAUAACGGAGGGAAACUUACGCUAAUACCGCAUACGCUCUACGGGUGAAAGCAGGAGGCCUUCGGACCUUGCGCGCAGGAAUGAGCCGAAGUCGGAUUAGCUAGUUGGCGGGGUAAUGGCCAGCCAAGGCGGCGAUCCGUAGGUGGUCUGACAGGAGGAUCAGCCACACUGGAACUGAGACACGGUCCAGACUCCUACGGGAGGCAGCAGUGGGGAAUAUUGGACAAUGGGCGCAAGCCUGACCCAGCCAUACCGCGGGGGCGAAGAAGGCUUUCGGGUUGUACAGCACUUUUGUUGGGAAAGACAAGCCGACCGGUAGAACCCCGCUGUUGUGACGGUACCGCAAGAAGAAAGCACGGCUAAAAUCGUG